UGAACGCUGGCGGCAUGCCUUACACAUGCAAGUCGAACGGCAGCACGGGGGGUAACCCCUGGUGGCGAGUGGCGAACGGGUGAGUAAUAUAUCGGAACGUGCCCUGUAGCGGGGGAUAACCUAUCGAAAGAUGGACUAAUACCGCAUACGCUCUACGGAGGAAAGCGGGGGCCGCAAGGCCUCGCACUAUAGGAGCGGCCGAUAUCGGAUUAGCUAGUUGGCGGGGUAAAAGCCCACCAAGGCUACGAUCCGUAGCUGGUCUGAGAGGAUGAUCAGCCACACUGGAACUGAGACACGGUCCAGACUCCUACGGGAGGCAGCAGUGGGGAAUUUUGGACAAUGGGCGCAAGCCUGAUCCAGCCAUGCCGCGUGAGUGAAGAAGGCCUUCGGGUUGUAAAGCUCUUUCGGCAGGAACGAAAUGGUUCGUGCUAAUACCGCGGACUGAUGACGGUACCUGAAGAAGAAGCACCGGCUAACUACGUGCCAGCAGCCGCGGUAAUACGUAGGGUGCAGGCGUUAAUCGGAAUUACUGGGCGUAAAGCGUGCGCAGGCGGUUUCUUAAGUCAGAUGUGAAAGCCCCGGGCUUAACCUGGGAACUGCGUUGAA
rnacentral:rRNA from 1 species